rnacentral:lncRNA from 1 species
CUUAUAUUACGUUAUUCUGACAAUGGAAAGAUAAGCUUUUGCAUACGUCUGGAAAAGAAUAUCCUUAAAAUCGGAAUGGGCAAGACAUCCUGAAAUUUUAGCAUUGUCUUACAUCCUAUAGAAGAAAUACCUUAGUCUGUCACAGUCAGCAUAUUAUGUCGUUUAAGUAUUCAAUAUUCCUUCAGUCAGCAAUAAUCAUGUUAUAAACCUUAUAAAAGCAUAAAAUACAUAUAAACAAGUUAACUAUUUAAUAUUCUUACACAGG